GAGCCAGAUAUCCUGGAAUGUGAAGUCAAGUGGGCCUUAGAAACCAUCACUACGAACAAAGCUAGUGGAGGUGAUCAAAUUCCAGUAGAGCUAUUUCAAAUCCUAAAAGAUGAUGCUGUGAAAGUGCUGCACUCAAUAUGCCAGAAAUUUUGGAAAACUCAGCAGUGACCACAGGACUGGAAAAGAGAAGUGAACUCGUCACAUCUCUGCUAUUCCCCCAGAAGCGUGUGCAGAAGUGAGAGACUCCCGGCCCAGGAAGAAAGAUCUAAAGCUGUGUCCAUAUCGCUAAACACGGCAUUUGAUUUCUUUCCCCACCAGGGUCCACCUGAGUGGGAGGAGUUACUCUUUGAAGGCAACAAGCAUGGAGACUGGAAGUUAAUGAUUAGACCCACCUUCUUGCACAGAAGGAAACUAAAUCCGAUCAACCAGAGGAGCCCGAAGAAAAUGAAUAAGUGGCAGAAAACCUUAUAAAAAGAAAACAAAAAGUCUGCUGCAAAACCACAGCCCCUGUGACAAUCAGAGGGGGAAGACACAGGAAGAUGUUUUUGGCCCCAGUCCCAAAAAUCUUUGGCGUGGAACCAUACCCAUGCCGUUAUGAGUUUCCACUGGGCACGUUUCCAGAGGUGUUUCAUCGGCCUGGAGCCUUCACACCAAGUCAGGGCUGGUUUUGUCAACCGUGCUCCCCACGGUCCCGCGUUCCAGACAACCUGCACUCGAGGUUCAACCCAGCAGCAUCUGAGCUGGAGGGGAAAUUCUACCUAAAAUUGCGUGUUUUCUAUUUUGGGGUCAAAAAUAUUGAGGUGGGGAGAGUCAUAUUGAUUUGUCCUUUAAUGGGGAAUUAACUGUCAUGAGUAAAUUAAACAGACUAAAAACUUUACUGUUCAUUACUUGAUAGUGUGUUGAAGUAAACAGUUUCAUAGCAUAUUUUGUUCUUAAUAUUUAUGUAUUUUGUUCUUAAUAUUUAUGUAUUUGUUCUUAAUAUUUAUGUAUCACUAAUACGAUAUACUUAAGAGCUAGAGUACUCUACAUUGAGAUGAUGGUUUUUCAUGCAAUGAAACACAAAGGCAAGAAGCCAAGACUGUGUCUCACAUCACACAAUCCUAAGCAGUCUCCUCCACGUUUGAGACCUCGUGCUCUGCCAAGCACGUAAGUAUAUACCCAUGAAAGCACACAUUCAAAACAAUGGCACUGGAAUCCAGUACCAUAAACAGACAUACUAAAAGUGAACA
ensembl:lncRNA